AGUACCAAAAAGACCUAUGUCCACUGGGCCCAUUCAAUAAAUGGUUGAAAGCUGAGUGAGCUGUCAGCUUCACAAGCAAGUCAACUAAGGAUUAAAGAGAGCAGCCUCAUCAUGAAGACCUUCCAGACAGCAGCUUUACCGUAAUUGAUGAACAGUACCUCUGCUCUGCUAUGAGAAGAAAUAACACUCCCUUUCAAUGAACAUUAAUAACUGAUUUCUGUCUCUCUCUCUUAUUUUCCUGUCUUAAUAUUUUUCUAGCAGUUUUUAUGUCACUGGCAUAACAUCAUCAUUGGCAUGAAUCAUCUCAUAGUAAUCUCCGAUAAUACCCAAAUGGGCUUUUUAUUUUAAACAUCUGGACAGCCUUAUGGUGGUUGAGAAUUAAGGUGCUGAGUGAAGAAAACAGCGCAGUCAUAAAGUCUGUCGGAUAAACAAAGCUUUCUCUGGAACAUUAACUCCUUUCCUGAGAAAUCUUCUCUGUUCCUCACAACGCACUUAGUAACUUUACAUCUUCAUCUCCAGAGAUCUCUAUGGCUUCUUCUCAGUCAAGAAUGGAGAAGUAUGAGCAGUCUUUGACACCUCUGAGCCUUCUCAAUUGCGUGCCAUCUGCUGGGUGCCCUCCUUGUCCUCAGUUUCCAGUAAACAUUCCCUCAUUCUCCAAGAUUCAGUUCACAUGUCUUCUUUAGCAGGAGCCUGUCUAGACCCCGCGAGGGAGAGUUGGAAGCUCCCUGCUUCAAGUUACCAUAAAACCACACCAACCCUUCUCACAGUCUUGUCAUUGUACUUAUGGACAUAUGGCCCCAACCAGGCUAUGAGCAACAACUAGGGCUGAGGGUGGGGAGUGUGCAUUAUUUUAUUCUUUGUCACUAUUUCUUCUUCCUUACACAGUGCCUACCACAGAGUUAGGUAUUCAACAUGCAUUUGUGUAUUAGUUUUGUAUUGAUGCAUAACAAGGUACCAUAAACUUUGCAUCUGAAAAUAACACAUAUUAUCUUAGAGUUUCAUAGGUCAAAGGUCCAGGCAGGGCUCGUUGAGUGUCCCAGUUUAGCUCUCACAAUACAGUGCUGAGAUUGGCAUAUAAUAACCAAGAAAAGGAGACCAAGACACAAAAGAAACGAAAAUCAGCUGAGAACAAUUGCGAUAUGACAUGUUGAAAUUAACAUCAUGGACUUUAAAGCAGCUGUGUAACUAUGUUUGUUGAAGUAAAAAGUAUAUUCUCUUUAAUAAAUGAAAAGAUAGAAACUGCAUCACGUAAGGACUUCAUGAGGCAGCUCCCAGCUCUCUCACUGCUCAUCACUUGCUGCUUUGCAAUGCACCCUCCAGCAGCCCUGCUCCGAUUGCCAAUCACUCCACUUGAGACCCUCGCUUGCCUGAAUGCCUUUGUCCAUGCUUUUCCCUUCUUCUGGGAAUCCCCUGCCUCUUUACCUGGAUAACUCAAGCUCUUUCUUUGCAUCUAAAUUUCUACGCAAACCUUACCUAAUUUUCCCAGGCUGCAUGAGGUUUUUUAUGCGUCCUUCAUGCCUUGUGCAUUUUUGUACCUGUGCUACUGUAAAAUUAUAAUACAGUAAACUGCAUGUGUGCAGAGAUCAUCCUUUAACUUGUGAGCUCUUCUGGGGCAAGAGCUUUGCUUAAUUAUGUUUAAUUCAUCUUAUAUCGCCCCAACCUUCUAACAAAAUGUUUGUUGAAUAAAUGUAGG